CCUACGGGAGGCAGCAGUGGGGAAUAUUGCACAAUGGGGGAAACCCUGAUGCAGCGACGUCGCGUGAGUGAAGAAGUAAUUCGUUAUGUAAAGCCCUAUCAGCAGGGAAGAAAAUGACGGUACCUGAGUAAGAAGCCCCGGGUAACUACGUGCCAGCAGCCGCGGUAAUACGGAGGGGGCAAGCGUUAUCCGGAUUGACUGGGUGUAAAGGGAGCGUAGACGGCAGUGCAAGUCUGGCGUGAAAGGCGGGGGCUCAACCCCCGGACUGCUCUGGAAACUGUACGGCUGGAGUGAAGGAGAGGUAAGUGGAAUGCCUGGUGUAGCGGUGAAAUGCGUAGAUAUUAGGAGGAACACCAGUGGCGAAGGCGGCUUACUGGACUGUAACUGACGUUGAGGCUCGAAAGCGUGGGGAGCGAACAGGAUUAGAUACCCCAGUAGUC
rnacentral:rRNA from 1 species